UGCGGUGUAGCCGAAUUGGUAAAGGCACUUGGCUCUGAACCAAGAUUAUGUGGGUUCGACUCCUACCGCCGCAG
rnacentral:tRNA from 1 species